CUUCUAGCCCAACCUGUGUCUCCUGAAUUGCAAUUCCUAAGACCCCAAUAAACACUUUGUCUUACUGCUUUACUAUCUGGUCUUUCGCCUCUUCUUGGUUGACAUUAAAUGGUGUCAGAAUAGAGUGGGGUACAACGCAACUUUCCCCUGCAUUCUGGCACUGCCAUGGAUUCAAGCAUGGUACCCGUAGGAUCCCUUUGUGUUCCAUCGUCUCCCCAACAGCCCAGGACCUCAUUGGACACAAUUGAAAACACUGGUUAUAUUACAAAAGCUUUGACUGGUAAUUUUGUGUCAUAUUUUCAAAUGUGACCAGGCUGCUUUGAGGAAUUGCAGUUUACUUUAAAGCCAACAGACUUGGAAAAAGACUGGCCGGGUACCAUAUCUACACUGUUCCCUUACAGGGUUCCUGACCUUGUGGCGUUUCUACCUCCAAGGGAAAAAGAUAACAAAUCUUUGGCUGACCAACUGAUGUUAUCAGCAAUGCUUCCUCACAUCACAUCUUUAUCAAAAUGAAGAAAUGUGAACUGUGAUAUACAAAACAGUAUCACUUGGUUCAGAGCUCUAAAAUGGAGUCAAGAAGCCACUCUAUUACUACCUACACAACAUGAAACCCUGCAGGAAAAAAAAAAAAAAGGAACAGGAACUUGCCUUGAACCUUUGAACUGCGCUAAACUACAAUGACCACAUCUUAGAAAGCAGCUGAAUUUCACCAGCACUGCAACUCCUGCAUAGCAACAACCAAUGUACCAUGGACUUAUGUACUAAGCCAGCCACCUCCACCAAUGAUAAUUCUUUCAAAACAACUUGUGCAAUCACUCUCGGCAUCCUUUGAAAAAUUCCUACUCUCCUUCCUGUCUUUGGAAAAGAAAUUGGCUCUUAGCCAAAUCCGUGUCUCCCAAAUUGCAACUUUUAAGGCCUCAAAUGCCUAGUCUUACUGCAUUGCACUCUGGUGUUUUGCCCCUUCUUACUUGACAUAUUAUACUUACAUCUCCAUUUCUAGUUGUGUUGAUUUUUUUAUUUUUUUAUUUUUAUUUUUAUUUUUGGAUAGUGUCUCACUCUGUCACCCAGGCUGGAGUACAGUGAUGCUGUCAGGGCUCACUGUAGUCUUGACCACCUGGGUUCAAGUGAUCCUCCCGCCUCAGCCUCCCAUGUAGCUGGGACUACAGGCAUGCACCACCAUGCCUGGCUAGUUUUCUUAUUUUUGGUAGAGACAUGGUUUCACCAUGUUGCCCAGGCUGGUCACAAACUUCUGGGUUCAAGUGAUCCACCUGCCUUGGCCUCCCGAAGUGCUUGCAUUACAGGUGUAAGCCACUGUGCCUGGCCUUGUAUCAACUUUUUGAUAGUAUCUCUUGACAGAAUGUAAAUGUGAGUAAUACAGACUCAGCAUGGUAGAGAAAUGAUAUAUGAAGGAGUGGUAUUACAGAGACAGGAUAGAUUAUUCAAUAAAUUCAGCUCUGGGACAAUUGGAUAUCAAACCAUAUGCCCUAUUCAAAAAUCAGUUGUUGGUGGAUCAAAAUUUUAUUUUAAAACUUUAUUUUUAAAAUAAAUUUGUUUUAUUUUAUCA